GAUGAACGCUAGCGAUAGGCUUAACACAUGCAAGUCGAGGGGCAGCGAGGGUAGCAAUACCUGUCGGCGACCGGCGCACGGGUGAGUAACGCGUAUGUAACCUGCCCGCAACAGGGGGAUAACCCGGCGAAAGUCGGACUAAUACCGCAUAAAACAGGGGUCCCGCAUGGGAAUAUUUGUUAAAGAUUUAUCGGUUGCGGAUGGGCAUGCGUACCAUUAGGUAGUUGGUGAGGUAACGGCUCACCAAGCCUUCGAUGGUUAGGGGUUCUGAGAGGAAGGUCCCCCACACUGGUACUGAGACACGGACCAGAAUCCUACGGGAGGCAGCAGUGAGGGAUAUUGGUCAAUGGGCGAGAGCCUGAACCAGCCAAGUCGCGUGAAGGAUGACUGCCCUAUGGGUUGUAAACUUCUUUUACAAGGGAAUAAAAUGAGGUACGUGUAUUUUAUUGCAUGUACCUUGGGAAUAAGCAUCGGCUAACUCCGUG
rnacentral:rRNA from 1 species